rnacentral:misc_RNA from 1 species
ACAGUGCAAACGCCAACACCUAUAACUACAAGCACAACAGAUGACUUGACUUCUCUCGAGUAUUGCUUGUUAUGAAGAAUCCAUUCCAUGACGCAAACCACAGGUAUCAUACUGAGUUUAGAAAUUUGAUAGAAUCCGACGGAGUUAAGCAUAAGGCUGAAGUUCAUGCCAGUGAUAGACAUAUUAGCAACAAUAGAGAACCAGAGAAGCUCCCACAUUGGAACAUGCUUUGAUACAGAUAAGCCAGUCGCAUUGGACACAAGUCCCACCAGAGCAGUUACCGCAAAAUGGAAACCCGUUAAGCUCGUGGCAAAGCUAAAAGCAUAACCGCUAGAGGACAUGAGUUGCUUAUUAGCCAUAAUAAUGCCGACGGAACUGAUAACGUUCAUGGCCCAUGCUCCAACAUCCGAUACCGCCGACUUCUUGUUUUCGGUCUCCAUCUCCGGAAAAGCUGAAAUUACAGAGGAUCUGUUUAUUUAAGCAGGGGCCCGGGGAGGGAUCUCUUUCCUUCAAUUCUCAGGAGAGAAAGAGAAGGAAAAAGGGAAACAGAACAGCCAAGAGAGACGCGCUUUGGUUGUAUGGUUGGCGGAUGGAUUGAUUUUG